rnacentral:tRNA from 1 species
GGUGGGGUUCCUGAGAGGUCAAAAGGAGCAGACUGUAAAUUUGUUGGGCAACCUUCGUUGGUUCGAAUCCAACCCCCAUCA